AUUGAACGCUGGCGGCAGGCCUAACACAUGCAAGUCGAGCGGUAGCACAGAGAAGCUUGCUUCUUGGGUGACAAGCGGCGGACGGGUGAGUAACGCGUAGGAAUCUACCUAAUAGUGGGGGAUAGCCCAGGGAAACUUGGAUUAAUACCGCAUACGCCCUACGGGGGGGAAAGCCGGGGGGGAUCUUCGGACCUCGUGCUAUUAGAUGAGCCUGCGUAAGAUUAGCUAGUUGGUGAGGUAAAGGCUCACCAAGGCAACGAUCUUUAGCUGGUCUGAGAGGAUGAUCAGCCACACUGGGACUGAGACACGGCCCAGACUCCUACGGGAGGCAGCAGUGGGGAAUAUUGGACAAUGGGGGCAACCCUGAUCCAGCCAUGCCGCGUGUGUGAAGAAGGCCUUCGGGUUGUAAAGCACUUUCAGAUGUGAGGAAAGGUUGCAGAUUAAUACUCUGCAGCUGUGACGUUAACAUCAGAAGAAGGACCGGCUAACUCCGUG
rnacentral:rRNA from 1 species